GAUGAACGCUGGCGGCGUGCUUAACACAUGCAAGUCGAACGAAGCAUUUAGGACAGAUUACUUCGGUUUGAAGUUCUUUAUGACUGAGUGGCGGACGGGUGAGUAACGCGUGGGUAACCUGCCUUGUACUGGGGGAUAGCAGCUGGAAACGGCUGGUAAUACCGCAUAAGCGCACAAUGUUGCAUGACAUGGUGUGAAAAACUCCGGUGAUAUAAGAUGGACCCGCGUCUGAUUAGCUAGUUGGUGAGAUAACAGCCCACCAAGGCGACGAUCAGUAGCCGACCUGAGAGGGUGACCGGCCACAUUGGGACUGAGACACGGCCCAGACUCCUACGGGAGUCAGCAGUGGGGAAUAUUGCACAAUGGAGGAAACUCUGAUGCAGCGACGCCGCGUGAGUGAAGAAGUAAUUCGUUAUGUAAAGCUCUAUCAGCAGGGAAGAUAGUGACGGUACCUGACUAAGAAGCUCCGGCUAAAUACGUG
rnacentral:rRNA from 1 species